CCGCAUUAGUGAUUGCAGCGGCAUCCUUUUUUAUGUCUUUGGGGGAAAUAGGUUGGUGCCGGCAAAAAGUCCGCGGCAUAAAAAAGAUAUAGCGGAAAGCACGGCCACUU
rnacentral:sRNA from 1 species